rnacentral:rRNA from 1 species
AGAACUUAGCAGAGAUGCUUUGGUCCUUCGGGAACUCUGAGACAGGUGCUGCAUGGCUGUCGUCAGCUCGUGUUGUGAAAUGUUGGGUUAAGUCCCGCAACGAGCGCAACCCUUAUCCUUUGUUGCCAGCGGUCCGGCCGGGAACUCAAAGGAGACUGCCAGUGAUAAACUGGAGGAAGGUGGGGAUGACGUCAAGUCAUCAUGGCCCUUACGAGUAGGGCUACACACGUGCUGCAAUGGCGCAUACAAAGAGAAGCGACCUCGCGAGAGCAAGCGGACCUCAUAAAGUGCGUCGUAGUCCGGAUUGGAGUCUGCAACUCGACUCCAUGAAGUCGGAAUCGCUAGUAAUCGUAGAUCAGAAUGCUACGGUGAAUACGUUCCCGGGCCUUGUACACACCGCCCGUCACACCAUGGGAGUGGGUUGCAAAAGAAGUAGGUAGCUUAACCUUCGGGAGGGCGCUUACCACUUUGUGAUUCAUGACUGGGGUGAAGUCGUAACAAGGUAAGCGUAGCGAG